CCAUCUUGUUGGCUACUGUCCGACUGAGUCUUCCUUCCUAGUGACAAGCUCCAUUGCCAAGGGGAUGGAUGUGAAGUCACAAUCAGAAGCACUCUAUUAAUAAGAACAAGGAAGAGAAAGAGUGGGCAACUGUGAAGGACAGAUAAAGCAGCAAAGAUUAGACUGACCAUAACUCAUCACUACAUAAAUGGAACUAAACAGAUGAAGAUGGCUUCAGAUAAAGGGAACUGAGAGAUUCAUUCAACUCUAUACAGAAGAAUGACAACUAUUCAAACUCCUUUCCUUACUAGCACGUCUAUCAAUUGUUUAAGGGCCAGGUUGGGAACACUUUCCAAGGCUUUCCGGUGUGCCGUGUGAAAGUGCCAGCGGACCAGAAUGCAAACCAAGGGCAGUGACGUGAGGAAUGUGAAAUUUCUUUAUAGAGGACAAGAAGGGGGGAGAGGAUCGAGGAAGGAAUGAAAAGGAAGGACAAGGCUGCCAAAGACAAGGUAUGGGAGACGAGCCAAGCUAUGGCGCUUUGAGGGCGGAGGUUCGGGUUCCGCUGCCACUGCCCAGGCUCGUCCCCGCAGUGUUCCCUUCUUCCCCUCCUGAACGUCAGUCAUCGCCUAUUUAAAUACCACAUUGCUCCCCUCUGUCCGCUGCUCCCUGUCAUCCAGCCAGCCCAGGCCUCCCCCCGCACUUCUCAAGGCUCCCCUACUCCAACGGACCGUCCCCAACAACUCAUCCUCCAAAAGGUCCCUUCUCACCUCUUGACUCCUCCCCAGUGCUGCUCCCUUCCCCCAUUUUAAUCUUUAUUCCUAUCGUCCUCCUGCAUCCCAAUAUCUCGAACCCCCACCCGAAUCCCCCGGGACAUCGCCCCCA